UUCUACCCUAAUACACGACUUCCACACUUUUCUAUCUAAAGUUAUGGCUCAGUAAUAAGAAGUUGUGGCUUCAUAAAAUAUUUAACCAAAGGCAAGUUUUUAGCUGCUUGUAAGGUGAUAACAAACCUUAAAAGAAUUUGAGAGCCUAAGGACUAAAGUCAUCCUUAUUUAUAUUUAUCCAAAACUAAAAUCAAGUUUUAUCUUCAGGUACUUGAAAGGUAAAACUAGCCUCAACCCAAUAGACUGACACUAAGCAAUAUAACCUCUUAACGCAAUCUUUUUUAACUUGUGGUAAGGUGAGUCCACAACACAAUGUUGGUGUAAGAGACUGCAUCGCUAACGUAAAUCGCCAAGUUCAAUAUAAGAAUAAAUAUAAACCAAGUUAAAUGACAUAAAAUGGAUAUAAUGCAAAUAAUCGGAUGGAGAUUCCAGACAAAAUACCCAAAAGAAGAAUACACUAUCUAUCUUCUCCUUUUCCACCUCAUCCACUUCACUGUAAUUUGAAUACACCAUGAUGACUGAAUGUUCAAAUAUAAAGUCACAUAAAGGCUUCAGACUAAAAGGCAAAUGUGAACACGCACAAACAUAAAAUCUAAAGAGAGAAAUGGUUUUCUACCCCUUUUAAACUUUUUUUUAGUUUUACAUCCUUUUUACACAAGAGAGAUCGUGUUUUCUUUAUGAUCUAGCAGUGUGCCACCCCUUGUGUGUUUUUUGUUAUAUUUGUUAUCUGUCCUGAGCCGGGAGUCUAUCUGAAACAGCCUCUCUACUUCAUCAGAGGUAGUGGUAUGAUCUGCGUACACUCUACACUCCUCAGACCCCACUUUGUGGAAAUGCACAGGGUAUGUUGUUGUUGUUGUUGUUGUUGUUUACACAUUAGAGAUUGCAAAAUGUCAUUUGAUUCCAUUCAAAUUGUAAGUGGCCAAGAGAACACAUUUGGUCAAACUUCUAAAGCCACUUUUUACCUAAAUUAGUCAUAUUCAACUCACUCAUUUCCACUACAUGAGUUUUGAGGUACAUCAAAGCUCAUCAUAGCCACACAAUUAGCAAACAUUGAAGUAAAUCCACUUGUUACUCAGCUAACAUUCCUCCUAAUUAGCAAGUCAAAUUGUCUCGUUUAUUAAUAAGCACCAAGUCGUACUUCCCCAUAAUAUUCUAAUUCCACGAGAUACCUACCCACCUCCCACCAGCAACAAGUAUUAGGUAACUCUGUCCACCAAGGCCAGAACAGAUGCGGAGAAAUCACCUAGUGUCUGUCUCUGUUGGGAAUUGAACCUGAGACCUUAUGGUGCUCAAUCCAACUUCAUUGAACCACUAGGCCACACCCUUGGGUGCUAGAGGGUACUCAAACCUUAUCACUACCUUGCGGAGGUAGAGAGGCUAUUUCCAAGAGACCCUCGGCCCAAGUGCAACAAAUCCAAGUACAAGAAGAAGAAAACAGUGAAGAAAAAUAAUAGUUAAUAAGGAAAGCACUGCAAAGCCUACACGAAAGAAACAAUAGCAGCAGCAUAAUACUAUGGUAAUCGAGACAAGAUAGACAACAUAUGACAAUAGAUAUCAAAAGCAAGAACUACGAGGAUGUAACUAAUAUAACAACAGACACCAACAACCCUAAACCUUUGAAAGGCAAGACAACACUCUACUCCUAGUAACCUUCUACCCUAAUACACGACUUCCACACUUUUCUAUCUAAAGUUAUGGCUCAGUAAUAAGAAGUUGUGGCUUCAUAAAAUAUUUAACCAAAGGCAAGUUUUUAGCUGCUUGUAAGGUGAUAACAAACCUUAAAAGAAUUUGAGAGCCUAAGGACUAAAGUCAUCCUUAUUUAUAUUUAUCCAAAACUAAAAUCAAGUUUUAUCUUCAGGUACUUGAAAGGUAAAACUAGCCUCAACCCAAUAGACUGACACUAAGCAAUAUAACCUCUUAACGCAAUCUUUUUUAACUUGUGGUAA
rnacentral:lncRNA from 1 species